AGAAAUAAUAAAGUAUUUGAUUUUGCUGCACCCAAACGAAAAAGCGAGAACUGUGUUUUUCUCCGACACAGAGCAGUGAAAUUACAUCCAUGUGCCAA